AUUAAAACUCAAAGGAAUUGACGGGGACCCGCACAAGCGGUGGAUGAUGUGGAUUAAUUCGAUGCAACGCGAAAAACCUUACCUACCCUUGACAUGUACGGAAUCCUGAAGAGAUUUGGGAGUGCUCGAAAGAGAACCGUAACACAGGUGCUGCAUGGCUGUCGUCAGCUCGUGUCGUGAGAUGUUGGGUUAAGUCCCGCAACGAGCGCAACCCUUGUCAUUAGUUGCUACGAAAGGGCACUCUAAUGAGACUGCCGGUGACAAACCGGAGGAAGGUGGGGAUGACGUCAAGUCCUCAUGGCCCUUAUGGGUAGGGCUUCACACGUCAUACAAUGGUACAUACAGAGGGCCGCCAACCCGCGAGGGGGAGCUAAUCCCAGAAAGUGUAUCGUAGUCCGGAUUGGAGUCUGCAACUCGACUCCAUGAAGUUGGAAUCGCUAGUAAUCGCGGAUCAGCAUGUCGCGGUGAAUACGUUCCCGGGUCUUGUACACACCGCCCGUCACACCAUGGGAGCGGGUUCUGCCAGAAGUAGUUAGCCUAACCGCAAGGGGGGCGAUUACCACGGCAGGGUUCGUGACUGGGGUGAAGUCGUAACAAGGUAACC
rnacentral:rRNA from 1 species